UUCCUGGUGGUCUAGUGGCUAAGGAUUCAGCAUUGUCACUGCUGUGGUCUGGGUUGGAUCCCUGGCUAAGAAA
rnacentral:tRNA from 1 species